UGAUCGAAAAUGUUCAACUAGUAGAACUUGUCAAGAAGAUAAUCAAUGUUGAAGAUCAUAUUAAUCGAAUGCCGAAUAAUACAUAAUCGGGCUGGAUCAAAGUGAGUUUCAUUUUAAGAAAAUAGAGUUGGCUACGCUGGAUCAAGCUCAUUAGUACUGUAUCAUUACGGAAUAAAUUCACUCAAUCGUCGUCACGCUUUCUACAGCUGAGGAAGGAAUUCAUGGGACUUCGUCUCUUCCAAUCUUUCAGUUUCUGCAGUUUUGGAGCUGAAGAUGAUGGUGAUGCUGUCUUGCUGAUGUUGCAGCUUGAGAUUUGAAUGAUGAAAUCAGAUUUUGGGGAAGUUUCUGAAUUUUGGUCCUUGGAGUAUGAGUUUCAGUUGAGGUAAUGGUGCCUAUGCUGGGGUGGUUCCUGUAACUGCUGUUGAAGUCGUGCUCUCUUUGAAACUUUUUGCUUCUGCUGCCUACAACUUUGCUGGUUGUUUUUGUUUGUCAGCUUGUACCAUUCUUUCCACAACCUUGUAUUUUUCUCCUUUCUAGGUCAUUGGAUGGCAUAUUAUUGUCCGGGGCGAAGGUGCCAACCUAGUUGGGCUUUUUGUUCUUGGUUGUGAUGCCACUUUGUCCUUUAUCCUUUUAAUCCUUGUAAUUCUUUAUUCAUCAACUGAUUAAUAAAAUCUCUUUCUUUGUUGAGUCCUGCUUUUGUAGAAGUCAUGGCAGGAGAGUUAAUUAGUUCUAGCGAAGGGACUGGUGGUAAUACUGACGACAAUUGUCAAUAAAAUCCCAGGGAGUUGAAGAGAGUGAUUCUUCCAAUCUCCUUUUCCUUUUUUCCCUUUUAGUUUCUUUUCAGGUAUAUUUGUGGUGAAGUAUUGAAUCUCACGUCGACUCCAACUCUACAAUCAAAAGCCUAGACAAACUAAAUUUAUUUAUUUUAUAUACGUAGGAAAAUUAGCCCAACUUAUGUGCUAUUUGAAAGAUUAAACGAAACCAGGUGCUUUUAGUGAUCUUUUAGAUUUAGUAUUGACUUUGUCUUGCCGAAGAUAGGUUGCUCCUCCCAAUAUAGUCGGGAGAACAAUGGUACAAGGAUGAGGAACAUAUUAGCCCAUCAUGCAAAAAUGCUAGUGAGACACAGAAGUGCACACGGACACUUGCUCUGGUACUCUAUUGUCGUUUUGUGCUUGACAUUCUUGGCCUUGAAUAUCAGCACAGUAAAUGUGAGCGUGUGCACUUGUGUGUGUGGAGUCUGUGGAUUAAUUGUUGCACAUGAUAUUACAUGGAGGAAGAUUAAGAAAAGGGAGAGAAGAUAUGCUGGAGAAAAUAAAAAAUGACUUUUGAGCUACGUGUGAGGAACUUCGUGUUUGUUUCCAAGUUAUCUCAUUUCUUCUUAAUCUAGAUGGGCAUUGCUGACGCUAUCAUGGACCUUGUUAGUUGCGAAACCACAUUGCGAGAGAACGAUUUAAAAGAAUUGAAUGUGGAGUAAUAUUGGAAAGUCAGGUGAACUCUCUUUUGACUAAACCAAGCAUGUAAAACCAAUCCUUGAGAAUUUAUACAAAAGAGGGUCUUUGUUCUAUCAAGUUGAAAUUGUCUGUAUGUUUUCUUACCUUGUCUUCAGGUUGUCCUUGUUGCUAGCAGGAAGUCCUUAACCCAACACAAAGGUGUAUUAGAGAUCACAUCCCACAUGAAAUGCUUGAAAGAUUGGAGGCACAUUUGAGGGCAGCUGGCCAGUUUACAGUUUGCAGAAUUUGAUUCUUAUGUUAUGGUUGCAGCUUCCUUUCUUUAUUGUCUCACUUAUUCAUUUUAGGUUACUGCAAACAUGUGGGGAACCGGGAACCAGUGUGGAGGAGGUGACCCAAGUGAGUACUGAGCCAAACAUCAUCGUCAGGCUUGCAUAUUGGAGGCAGUGAAGUUCGUUUUUCUCCUCUGACCUACAUUUUUUAUGAAGAACCCCCUCGAUGGCGUGAACUCCUUUCAAAACUUGUCAUGUAGUAGUUUUUUGGGAAUGCAUUGGGCCGUUUUUGCAUUCUAUCGCAUUAGCGUGUCGAAGAACUCCUGGUGCUUCUGUUAGAAGAGAAUUCAACUCAAGAAGUUGUGCCUUAAAUCUAUUUAGUGUAUUGUUAUUUUCUAAAUUGACCUCCAUAGUACUUGCUUUCAAUUUUUCCUGGUUCAAAUCUCUGAGCAUUGUCCCUGCCCCUCAUGGGGCUUCUCCUGUUGUAAUCUUAUCACUUUAUUCUGAAAUAAUUUUUCAUAAA